rnacentral:rRNA from 1 species
AUUCUUUMGUGCGUAAAGUACUAUGAACAAUGUAAUAAUGAGAUAAUGACAAAAUAUUACUGAGCAGUACAGACUAAUCGCCGUGCCAGCAGUCGCGGUAAAACGGCUUGUACAAACGUUAAUCGUCAUUAAUAGGCAUAAAGGGUUCGUAGGCAGCUUCCUGAGUAAUUAAGAAGAUAGGAUGAUAGAAUCUAAUAUAGGAUAACACAAUAUUAGCACGAGGGUUCAUAUCCGUAGACUGCUAUUAGAGUGCUAAAAGCGAAGGCAAUUAUCCGGGUAAGAUUGACGCUGAGGAACUAAGGUUUGGGUAGGAAACAGGAUUAGAGACCCAGGUACUCCAAACAGUCAACGAUGAAUGCUAGAUGUUAGUAUUUUAUUAGCGUCGAUGUGAAAAGGACGUUAAGCAUUCCGCCUUGGUAGUAUACUUGCAAAAGUGAAAUCAAAAAAAUUAGUCGGUCUCGAAGUAAACGAAGUGAAGCAUGUUGUUCAAUACGAUAAUCCG